CCCCUCUCAGGGUCGCAUCUGGAGAGUUUCCGGUACUCUACCAGUCUUGACUAUGAGAAGGAGAGUCAAGCGGAGGCAUAUACAUUCCAAUCCUAGCUUGGGCAGUGGCUAGUGAAUGGAAGGCAAUCUGCUAUAAGG